UGCAAGUCGAGCGAUGAAACACCUUCGGGUGUGAAUUAGCGGCGAACGGGUGAGGAACACGUGAAGAAUCUGCCUUCAACUCUGGGAUAACUCCGGGAAACCGGGGCUAAUACCGGAUAUGAGCCUCGAUCGCAUGAUUGGGGCUGGAAAGUUUUUCGGUUGAAGAUGACUUCGCGGCCUAUCAGCUUGUUGGUGAGGUAAUGGCUCACCAAGGCGACGACGGGUAGCCGGCCUGAGAGGGCGACCGGCCACACUGGGACUGAGACACGGCCCAGACUCCUACGGGAGGCAGCAGUGGGGAAUAUUGGGCAAUGGAGGAAACUCUGACCCAGCGACGCCGCGUGAGGGAUGAAGGCCUUCGGGUUGUAAACCUCUUUCAGUAGGGAAGAAGCGAAAGUGACGGUACCUACAGAAGAAGCACCGGCUAACUAUGUGCCAGCAGCCGCGGUAAUACAUAGGGUGCAAGCGUUGUCCGGAAUUAUUGGGCGUAAAGAGCUCGUAGGUGGUUCGAUACGUCGGAUGUGAAAAUCAGGGGCUCAACCCCUGACCUGCAUCCGAUACGGUCGAGCUAGAGUUUGGUAGGGGAGACUGGAAUUCCUGGUGUAGCGGUGGAAUGCGCAGAUAUCAGGAGGAACACCGAUGGCGAAGGCAGGUCUCUGGGCCAAUACUGACACUGAGGAGCGAAAGCGUGGGGAGCGAACAGGAUUAGAUACCCUGGUAGUCCACGCCGUAAACGGUGGGCGCUAGUUGUGCGAACCUUCCACGGUUUGCGCGACGCAGCUAACGCAUUAAGCGCCCCGCCUGGGGAGUACGAUCG
rnacentral:rRNA from 1 species